GGGCGGAUAACCCGUAAUUGGUAGCGGUCAUGACUGUAAAUCAUGUGUCUUCGGAUUCUGUUGGUUCAAGUCCAGCUCUGCCCA
rnacentral:tRNA from 1 species